rnacentral:rRNA from 1 species
UACGUAGGGUGCGAGCGUUGUCCGGAAUUAUUGGGCGUAAAGGGCUCGUAGGCGGUUUGUCGCGUCGGGAGUGAAAACCUCGGGCUUAACUCGGGGCUUGCUUUCGAUACGGGCAGACUAGAGGUAUGCAGGGGAGAACGGAAUUCCUGGUGUAGCAGUGAAAUGCGCAGAUAUCAGGAGGAACACCGGUGGCGAAGGCGGUUCUCUGGGCAUGAUCUGACGCUGAGGAGCGAAAGUGUGGGGAGCGAACAGG